UCUACACUCACCUUUUAAAAAGGUGCUUCUAACAAACAAGCAAUCUAAUUUAUUAAGCAAGCUGGCUUGGGCUGAGGGAGGAAGGCAGGUGCUUUCAUUCAGCUUGCUCACAGGAUAUUGUUCUUACAGAGCUUCCCACUUGUUUGUUCUUUAUUCCCUUCAUUUCCCUGCUUAAGAGAGCUGUUUGCCCGGCACGCUGAUUUACAGAACAGGGAGUGAUCUGGAUUUAUCUGUGGGUUCACUGGCCUCCCACAGGGCUUAUGGAUGGUCUCAGUUUCAGCUGCAUCACACGCUGCCUGAUGAAAUUGACAAUAUUCGGCCAAACACCAACUGCAUGUGGUUCAACCUAAGGGUAUUUUACAUUGAAGGGCAAAGUUACAGAUUUCAAAGCAAAAGACCCAAGUUCACAUCUGAUCACCUGCUAACUGGCUACGUAAUCUUGGGAAAGUUCCUUGGUUUCUCUGAUCAUUCCUGGUCCUCAUCUGUAAAACAGUUCAAUUAAUAGCCAGCUAGGAAGCCAUGAUGGGAAGCACUUGCGGCUGCUUAUAUAAAGCACUCAGCACAGUGCCUGGCACGAAGGAAGCUUUCAGUAAGUGGUUGGUGGUGCUUAUUUGCGGCCAUGGCUUAUUGAGACUGGAAGCUGUGGGGACUCCGGUGCACGAUGGUGGAUGUUCCAUGAAUGCUGGCAAGAAGAGUGAGCAUGGGGACAUCAACUGGGAGUGGCCCAGAAGCCCGAAGCUGAGAGGACAAAGCUCACUGGGUCCUCCACAAUCUCUACUUUACCAAAAUCCAUGCGGGUGCAUCAUAAAGAGAGAUGCUUGAUGACCAAGUUGUUCUGGACAAAUCAAGGAAAAGAGAGUGGAGGGGCUGCUGCCCCAGGAAGGCUGGGCCCACCCCUCCUCACAGGCACCCUGAUGCCUGUUCAGCUUGGCUCUCUGGAUGACAGGCAGAAGCCCCAGUUGCUUCUCUUCUCCACGGUGAUUUCUGCAUACUUUAUCCAAACCCCCUCCCCACCGCUGUUCAGUUUCUGGCUCCUCUUCCUGCCCGUGCUCUGAGGCCAGCUGGGGGCCUCCCAGGUGACUCCUGCUGCUGCUGUCACUGGACCCUGACGCUGUGCCGCACCCGAAUUCCUCCGAAUGGAGCCUUGGCCAGAGCAAGGCGUGCCGUGUAGAGGAGCGGAUCUGAGCCUGGCAGGAGAUCGCUAAAACCUUUGCCCUUCACACAAACGCGGAAGCACGGGGCGGGUGCUGAAGAGCCAAGCAAGUGUCCCCCAUUUCCUUCCAAGGCAGAGCAGCAGCCCAGGGAGGCCCAGUUUCCAUCGCGGCAGAAGGGCAGAAGAGUGGGGGAGGUCCCAGGACCACAGCCCAGGGGACACUCAGGAUGCGCCAGGAAGGACAUGGCAGACAGGCCCUUUAGGUGGAAAAGCAACCCUCAGCUGCCCAGAGAGCGGCCCCUCCAGGCCCUCCCCGCCGUCUGCAAAGCUCUUCAGCUGGGAGAGGAGGAAAGGGUUUGUUCUUGACCUCCUUCCUUUCCUUUCUUCUCCACUGUCCACCAGAGAGCAGGAAGACAGGCUGAUGCUCUUGUUAAAGAUGAAGGCAUAAUUCACAUGCCAUAAAAUUCACCAUUUUAACCAUUUUAAGGUGCACAGUUCAGUGGUUUUGAGUGCAUUACAUUGUUGGGCAACCAUCAGCAUGGUCUAAUUCCAAAACAUUUCUGUCACUCCAAAAAGAAAUCUUGUACCCAUUAGCAGUCACUCCCCAUUUCCCCCUACCCCCCAGCCCCCCGGCACCCACGAAGGUGCUUUCUCUGUUUCGAGGGAUCUUCCUAUUGUGGCAAAUCCUCUGAAUGGAAUCAUACAAUAUGUGGUCUUCUGCCACUGGCUUCUUUCACUGACCAUAAUUUUUCAAGGUUCACCCACGUUGUAGCAUGCGUCAGCGCUUCAUUCCUUUCCAUGGCUGGACUGUAUUUCAUUGUAUGUCUGGACCACAUUCUGUUUCUCUAGUCAUCAGUUGAUUACUUACUUUUCAGGGCCCACUUAGCCUUUCUUCCCAAGGGCAGGGGCUCUGUUGUCCACUGUUUUGGAGUCUUCCAGCAGACUUGAUGGAGUGUACCAGUGGUUUCCUUGCUGGGCAAAUAACCAGAGGGUCCCUGGGUACGGGAAUCUCUGAGUCCUGAUCUUUGGCUCUGCUGCAGACCAGGUCACUGUAUGAUCUUUUAGCAGCCUCUUUACCUCACCUGGCCUCAGUUUCUUCAUCUGAAAAAUGAAGGGCUUGAAGCAGAUGGUCUCUAACACUUCUCCUGGCCCAACACUUUAAGAUGUUUCAGCAAAGCAGUGAAGAAGCAGCCUUCUGUGACCUUUCUGAACAAGGCAGAGGAAAGCAAGCUGUAGGCUGACAUAGUUAGGUGAUUCCAUAACAAAAUUGCGCUGUAAACAAUCAUCUGGAUCAAUCGACAGAAGGCACUUGCAACAGGUUCCCAGAUGACAGAAAACUAUAGGAAUGACAGGGAAGGAAUGAUGGGGCAGAUUAAAAUGGAGAAAUUUAACAGGGACAAAUGUAAAAGUCGGACAUUUUGCUCCAAAGUUCAACAGAACAGCUACCUGCUUUGUUGGAUAUGUUCAGGCAGUGUCCUUUAUAAGAGUUUGAUUGACUCUAAAUGAAUCUCAUUAUGAGUCACCAUUGGGACAGGCUGCCAAAAGGCCAAUGUGACUUCAGAUUAAAUCAAUAGAGGUCUACUGGCUGAAACAAGGGAGGUGACAUUAUUGAGUCCAUCCCUGGUGUAUGUAGCUGCUACCCUCUGAGAAGGAGGCCCCCAAUAGGAAAAGCCAGAGGGAGGAUGGAUAAGACAUGAAGAGCUCUAGAACCAUGGUUUGGUAGUAGGAGGGGCUCAGGGUUUGGGUCUUUAAAAGAUAAGACAGAGAGUGCUGUUCACAUCUGUGAAGGAACAUGGCAUGAGAAGGGGAGUUGACUUCCACCAUGGGGACCUGCAGGGUGACUGGGGCUGGAAGAUGAUCAAUUGUGACCCAGGACCAGGAAGAACUUCGCAGCAACAAAAGUCACAGGAAAUGGAAAAAACUCCUGGUGAAGAACACAG
rnacentral:lncRNA from 1 species